GACGAACUGUCCUAACGUUGUUCGGAAUCACUGGGCUUAAAGGGCGCGUAGGCGGUCCGACAAGUCAGGGGUGAAAUCCUGCAGCUUAACUGCAGAAGUGCCUCUGAUACUGUCGGUCUGGAGGGAGAUAGGGGUGUGCGGAACUUCCAGUGGAGCGGUGAAAUGCGUUGAUAUUGGAAGGAACGCCGGAGGCGAAAGCGGCGCGCUGGAUCUCUUCUGACGCUGAGGCGCGAAAGCUAGGGGAGCAAACGGG
rnacentral:rRNA from 1 species